UACAGAGGGUGCGAGCGUUAAUCGGAGUAACUGGGCGUAAAGGGCGCGUAGGCGGUGAUGUGAGUGUGAUGUGAAAGCCCCGGGCUUAACCUGGGAAGUGCAUCGCAAACGACAUGACUGGAGUAGAUGAGAGGGUGGCGGAAUUUCCGGUGUAGCGGUGAAAUGCGUAGAGAUCGGAAGGAACGUCGAUGGCGAAGGCAGCCACCUGGCAUCAUACUGACGCUGAGGCGCGAAAGCGUGGGGAGCGAACAGG
rnacentral:rRNA from 2 species